rnacentral:rRNA from 1 species
CCUACGGGAGGCAGCAGUGAGGAAUAUUGGUCAAUGGCCGCAGGGCUGAACCAGCCAAGUCGCGUGAGGGAUGACGGUCCUAUGGAUUGUAAACCUCUUUUGUCAGGGAGCAAAGCGCGCCACGUGUGGCGCUUUGCGAGUACCCGACGAAAAAGCAUCGGCUAACUCCGUGCCAGCAGGCGCGGUAAUACGGAGGAGGCGAGCGUUAUCCGGUUUUAUUGGGGUUAAAGGGUGAGCAGGCGGAAUGUCAAGUCAGCGGUAAAAUUUCGGGGCUCAACCCGGUCGGGCCGUUGAAAUUGGCGUUCUUGAGUGAGCGAGAAGUAUGCGGAAGGCGUGGGGUAGCGGUGAAAUGCAGAGAUAGCACGCAGAACUCCGAUUGCGAAGGCUGCAUACCGGCGCUCAACUGACGCUCAUGCACGAAAGCGUGGGUAUCGAACAGGAUUAGAUACCCCUGUAGUC